AAUGAACGUUGGCGGCGUGGAUUAGGCAUGCAAGUCGGUCGCUCCGCAAGGGGCGAGGCGCAAGGGUGAGUAAGGCGACGGCGACCAACCCCGGGGAUGAGCAUAGCCGCGGGAAACCGCGGGUAAUUCUCAGCGACGUCGCGGCGGGGACCUCCCCACUCGACCAAAGGGUGCGAUUCCGCCCCGGGACGGGCCGUCGUGGCAUCAGCUAGAUGGGGGGGUAACGGCCCACCAUGGCGAAGACGCCUACCGGGCGUGCGAGCGUGGCCCGGCACACUGGGACUGAGACACUGCCCAGACGCCUACGGGUGGCUGCAGUCAAGAAUCUUCGGCAAUGGGCGCAAGCCCGACCGAGCGACGCCGCGUGGGGGACGAAGGCCCUCGGGUUGUAAACCCCUGUCGAGUGGGAGCAAGGGCCCGUGAAGAACGGGACUUGAGCGACCGCUGGAGGAAGCACGGGCUAAGUUCGUGCCAGCAGCCGCCGUAAGAC
rnacentral:rRNA from 1 species